rnacentral:piRNA from 1 species
UGACUAAUGUUUGCCCAUUCCACAGCGG